UCUCUCAGGUAAGCAAGAACCUCACUAUGACCUGGAUGUCUUCUCGGAUCUCUAGACCCGUUUUCGAGUCUGGUCGAAAACGGGAAAUCAGUGAAACCCAUGCAUUCUUGUGGGAUGAUGGUUCGGAGAGAACUGUAGAGGCUCGAAUGGAUUACGGGUCGGGUCGGGUCGAUGCUAAGGGGGUCGGGUUCAACGUUUGGCGUGUAAGCCCACACGCCUCCGAUGUGGUUCCCACGUUCGAAAACAACGACAGAGUGGCCCUCACGGCGGAGCUCUCGAGCAGCCACGAGUCCGG